CGGAAUUUAAAAAUUGCAGGAAAUAAAUAAGUGCGAUAAGUAAAUAAAUUAGAACAAACGCCUCGAUGUAUCCUGGUUCACCACAACCCGUGGCUAGUCUAGUCCCCGAGAUACUCUCUCGAGAUUUCCACUAACUUGUUAAGCUUACGGGUGCUCAACAAACCGUUACAACUUGAGGACACAAGCCUCAACAACCUUUGCUCGGAG
rnacentral:lncRNA from 1 species